UUUUCCCCACACUGCAACGGCAACUGAUUUACCUUUGCUUAGAAAAAUGUUCGGUCAACAAAAAAAAACCCAAUCAGCAUAUUCCUUGACGUGCUUUCUAAUGUCGACAGUUCGUUUUUUCCUGCAAUAAUUGAGCAGGUCUUUGUAGUUUAUAGCCGAGUGAGUGACGAGUGCAUAGUAUCCAUUUGAAGAAUCUGUUUGGCUUCAAGUAGUUGGUGGCAGGGACUGAGAGGUGAGGUGGCCAACUGUUACCUGGUGGAGAUUGUAGGUAGAAGAAUGGUCCUCUCCGGCCACUCCGACGCUGAAUCGCCGCUUCUGGAAGCCACAACCGUCAAUGGCUCCGCCGAUUAUAAUGGCCGUCCCGCCCUUAGAUCUUCCUCCGGCGGUUGGAGAUCGGCCUCUUUCAUCAUCGGUGUCGAAAUUGCGGAGAGGUUCGCCUACUAUGGGAUAUCGUCGAAUCUCGUAACGUACCUGACAGGGCCGCUCGGUCAAUCCAACGCGGCAGCAGCAGAGAACGUCAACGCUUGGUCCGGCGCCGCGUCGUUGCUACCACUUCUUGGGGCUUUCAUCGCCGAUUCUUUCCUGGGCCGAUUCCGCACCAUCAUUAUCUCUUCUGUUAUAUACAUCUUGGGACUGGGAUUAUUGACUCUGUCAGCAGUGCUUCCUUCGCAUAGCAGUUCUGACUGUCAAAGCACAUCAUGUUCUCCAUAUCAGCUUCAAGUUUUGUUAUUCUUCUUCUCUUUAUACCUAGUGGCGGUCGCGCAAAGUGGACACAAGCCUUGUGUUCAGGCAUUUGGAGCAGAUCAGUUUGAUGGAAAAGACCCAGAGGAGACCAAAGCCAAAAGUUCAUUCUUCAAUUGGUGGUAUUUUGGUAUGUGUGGUGGCACAGUGGUGACUUUAGUCGUCUUAAACUAUAUCCAAGACAAUCUUAAUUGGGCCCUUGGAUUCGGAAUACCCUGUAUUGCAAUGGUUUUUGCCCUGAUUGUUUUCUUACUUGGAACAAAGACUUACCGAUAUAGCAUCAAAGGGGAUCAAAAAAACCCAUUUUUAAGGAUCGGUAAAGUAUAUGUUACAGCAUUUAGGAACUGGCGGACUAGUCCUUCGGCAAUAACUACUGAACAUGAAGCUCUGAGAGUCUUACCCUAUCAUGGUUCUCAGCAGUUCAAGUUCCUCAACAAAGCCUUUCUUGCGCCAGAUGGCUCAAAAAAGUUGGGAAUGGUGUGUAGCCUUAGUGAGGUCGAAGAAGCAAAAGCAGUACUCAGGCUUGUUCCGAUAUGGACUACAAGUUUGGUAUAUGCUGUUGUAUUUGCACAAUCCUCGACUUUUUUCACCAAACAAGGAGUUACCCUGAACAGAACAGUUACACCUGGCUUUGACAUAUCUGCUGCUUCCCUACAAUCCUUCAUUAGUCUCACCAUUGUGAUCUUUCUUCCUAUCUACGACCGCAUUUUUGUUCCCAUCGCAAGAGGUAUGACCAGGAAACCUUCUGGUAUAUCAAUGCUACAGAGAAUUGGAACUGGGAUGUUUUUCUCUGCUCUCUCGAUGGCAGUUGCAGCUCUAGUUGAGAUUAAAAGGCUCAAAACUGCUCAAGAAUACGGGCUGGUUGACAAGCCAAAUGUGACGAUUCCAAUGAGUGUGUGGUGGUUGGUUCCCCAAUAUGUGUUGUUUGGAGCUGCUGACGUGUUCACCAUGGUUGGUCUACAAGAGUUCUUCUAUGAUCAGGUCCCACAUGAGUUAAGGAGCGUGGGUAUGUCCCUUUACCUCAGUAUCUUUGGUGUUGGAAGCUUUUUAAGCAGCUUUCUAAUAUCCAUAAUUGAGAAAGCUACUGAUGGGGAUGGUCGAUAUAGCUGGUUUUCGAAUAAUCUGAACCGUGCUCAUCUCGACUACUUCUAUUGGCUUCUUGCUGGACUUAGUGCAGUAGAAUUGGCAGCCUACUUGUAUUUCUCCAAAUCGUACAUUUAUAAUCAGAGAAUUGUAUGAAUACGUAUUUUGUUCCACAUGCUGCAUUUUACAUGCAAGGAAAGAAGGGAAGAGAUGUAGACUUCCCAGGCUCGGUGCUGUUGAGAACCGGCGUCUACUUGUAUUUCUCCAAAUCUUACAAUUUGUGAAGGGGUUCUAAUCCAUCCGGGUCUUUGCGAUCCACCGAAAAUGCAGAUGGAGAAUGGGCAACAGCGGCUGCAGAGUGAGACAAAUUUUCUUGCAAGAGAGGGAGUUUCUCCGAGGACGGAUGGGUGGAAGGAGAUGGCGAAAAGGGCGGUGAUGAAGAGGGAGAUGGUGAGAAUAAGUACUUUUGGUUUCCAGGUCCUAUACUAACUGGAAGGGGUGAUGGUGGUGUUGGUGGUGAUGAUGAUGAUGAUGGGGAGACAUAUUCAACCCUCUUACCUUCCAUAGAUGUUCUGGACAAUGCUAUCUGCCUUUCUUGAGACAUAGCCAUCCCUCGUAUCCUCCAUUAAAGUUACAGAAAAUGCAUCUGUCUAUCUGUUUUGAGUUUUUGACUACUACUACUACUACUACUACUACAGAUAUUCAGAUGCUAUUUUCUUGUUUUGAAUUGUUGGUAUCAACCUAACAGUCAUGUGCUAA